AUACUUACCUGGCAGGGGAGAUUCCAUGAUCAUGGAGGUGGUUUUCCCAGGAUGAGGCUCAGCCACUGCACUCAGGGUGGGCUGGUGCGGCUAUCUUCCCAAAUUUAGGAAACUCGAUGGCAUGAUUCAUGGCAGUGGGAAGCUGCAUUCUCACUCUCCCU
rnacentral:snRNA from 1 species